AGCAAAUUCAUAUUUAAAUGCUAUGACAAAUAUGAACACUACCACAAUUUAAUGAUUUCCCUUUAUAUUAAUUGAUGAAUACAAUUAUCUUAAAAUGUAUUCCAAUAAUGGCCCAAAAUCUAAAUAAAAACUCAAGAAUAACUACGUACCUGAAACCUAGAACCUCUGUGCGAUUAAAACUGGAUCCAUAUUUGUUUCGAUAAACUGUGUCCAGCUGUAAAAGUAAUAUAAGCAAUUUUAGCAAUUUAUCUUGAGAACUGAAAUGUUGACAAACAAUUUGAGGGAACGUGUUUGACAUAAUGACAAAUAUAAAAACUUAUUUGGGGGAUGAAAUGCCCCUUUAAGAACCUGACAGCUGUACAACUGAAGAUGAACAGUAUUAUUAAAAGAGUGGAAAGUAAAACAGAAUUUACCGCUGUAGCCACAGUACUUGCUAAUGCUUUGAACGCUGGUGAAGAAACAUUUUUCAAAUCUGCUUUGAAGUUUUGCUCCAAUUUGAAGUCCAACUUAACCUCUGGUGGUGGAGGGGCAGGUGUUCUGAUAGUAGUUGAGGAACCAGUUGUAACUGUGGUCAGAGCAACUGUGGUUGUUGUUGGAGUAGCUGUGGUUGUUUUGGGAGGAGCUGUGGUUCUUGUGGGAGCAGCUGUGGUUGUUGUGGGAGCAACUGUGGUUGUUGUGGGAGCAACUGUGGUUGUUGUGGGAGCAACUGUGGUUGUUGUGAGACCAGCUGUGGUUGUUAUUGGAGCAGCUAUGGUUGUUGUUGGAGUAGUUGUGGUUGUUGUAGGAACAGCUAAGGUAGUUGUGGGAGCAGCUGUGGUUGUUGUUGGAGCAGCUGUUGUUGUUAUGAGGGAACCUGUGGUUGUUGUGGGGGCAGCUGUGGUUGUUGUUGGAGCAGCUGUGGUUGUUGUUAGAGCACCUGUGGUUGCUGUUGGAGCAGCUGUUGUUGUUGGAGCAGCUGUGGUUGUUGUUGGACCAGCUGUGGUUGUUGUGAGACCAGCUGUGGUUGUUGUGGGAGCAACUGUGGUUGUUGUGGGAGCAACUGUGGUUGUUGUGGGAGCAACUGUGGUUGUUGUGGGAGCAACUGUGGUUGUUGUGAGACCAGCUGUGGUUGGUGUGAGACCAGCUGUGGUUGGUGUGAGACCAGCUGUGGUUGUUGUGAGACCAGCUGUGGUUGUUGUUGGAGCAGCUAUGGUUGUUAUUGGAGCAGCUGUGGUUGUUGUUGGAGUAGUUAUGGUUGUUGUAGGAAUAGCUGUGGUAGUUGUGGGAGCAGCUGUGGUUGUUGUGGGAGCAGCUGUGGUUGUUGUGGGAGCAACUGUGGUUGUUAUGAGACCAGUGGUGGUUGUUAGGGGAGCAGCUGUGGUUGUUGUUGGAGCAGUUAUGGUUGUUGUAGCUGCAGCUGUUGUCGUCGUAGCAGCAGCUGAGGUUGUUAUGAGGGAACCUGUGGUUGUUGUAAGAGCAGCUGUGGUUGUUAUUGGAGCAGCUGUGGUUGUUGUUGAAGCAGCUGUGGUUGUUGUUGGAGUAGUUAUGGUUGUUGUAGGAACAGCUAAGGUAGUUGUGGGAACAGCUGUGGUUGUUGUGGGAGCAGCUGUGGUUGUUGUGGGAGCAGCUGUGGUAGUUGUGGGAGCAGCUGUGGUUGUUGUGGGAGCAGCUGUGGUUGUUGUGGGAGCAACUGUGGUUGUUGUGGGAGCAAAUGUGUUUGUUGUUAGACCAGCUGUGGUUGUUGUGGGAGCAGCUGUGGUUGUUGUGGGAGCAGUUGUGGUUGUUGUGGGAGCAGCUGUGGUUGUUGUGGGAGCAACUGUGGUUGUUAUGAGACCAGCGGUGGUUGUUAGGGGAGCAGCUGUGGUUGUUGUUGGAGCAGUUAUGGUUGUUGUAGCUGCAGCUGUUGUCGUCGUAGCAGCAGCUGAGGUUGUUAUGAGGGAACCUGUGGUUGUUGUGGGGGCAGCUGUGGUAGUUGUGGGAGCAGCUGUGGUUGUUGUGGGAGCAGCUGUGGUUGUUGUGGGAGCAACUGUGGUUGUUGUGGGAGCAAAUGUGUUUGUUGUUAGACCAGCUGUGGUUGUUGUGGGAGCAGCUGUGGUUGUUGUGGGAGCAGUUGUGGUUGUUGUGGGAGCAGCUGUGGUUGUUGUGGGAGCAACUGUGGUUGUUAUGAGACCAGCGGUGGUUGUUAGGGGAGCAGCUGUGGUUGUUGUUGGAGCUGUUAUGGUUGUUGUAGCUGCAGCUGUUGUCGUCGUAGCAGCAGCUGAGGUUGUUAUGAAGGAACCUGUGGUUGUUGUUGGGGCAGCUGUGGUUGUUGUUAGGACAGCUGUGGUUGUUGUUAGAGCAGCUGUGGUUGUUGUUGGAGCAGCUGUGGUUGUUGUUGGAGCAGCUGUGGUUGUUGUGGGGGCAGCUGUGGUUGUUGUUAGAGCAGCUGUGGUUGUUGUUGGAGCAGCUGUGGUUGUUGUUGGAGCAGCUGUGGUUGUUGUUGGAGCAGCUGUGGUUGUUGUGAGACCAGCUGUUGUUGUUAGGGGAGCAGAUGUGGUUGUUGUUGGAGCAGUCAUGGUUGUUGUAGCUGCAGCUGUUGUUGUCGUAGCAUCAGCUGUGGUUGUUAUGAGGGAACCUGUGGUUGUUGUGGGAGAAGGUGUGACUGUUGUUAGAGCAGCUGUGGUUGUUGUGGGAGUAGCUGUGGUUGUUGUUGGAGAAGUUGUGGUUGUUGUUGUUGUUGGAGAAGUUAUAGUUGUCGUAGCAGCAGCAGUUGUUGUCGUAGCAGCAGCUGAGGUUGUUAUGAGGGAACCUGUGGUUGUUUUGGGGGCAUCUGUGGUUGUUGUUAGAGCAGCUGUGGUUGUUGUUAGAGCAGCUGUGGUUGUUGUUAGAGCAGCUGUGGUUGUUGUUAGAGCAGCUGUGGUUGUUGUUGGAGCAGCUGUGGUUGUUGUGGGAGAAGCUGUGGUUGUUGUGUGAGAAGGUGUGACUGUUAGAACAGAUAUGGUUGUUGCUGGAGAUGUUGUGGUUGUUGUCAGAGCAGUUAUGGUUGUUAUGGGAGCAGUUGUGGUUGUUUUUGGAACAUCUGGGGUUGUUGUGGGAGCAGCUGUGGUUGUUGUGGGAGCAACUGUGGUUGUUGUAUCCACAGCUGAAGUUGGUGUUGU
ensembl:lncRNA